AGUCACCUACAAAGAGACGACAAUUCGUGAGCAUUCAUUUGUUUUCAUAUUUAUUGGAUACAUUCUUCAUUUCCUCUAGCAUAGCAAAGUAGUUUUCUUGUGCAUCAUACCAGUUGGAGCAUGCAAGUAAAAGAAACACCACGGAAAAGAUAGACUUUUUCGAUGAUGGGGAAGAAUAAAUGCAAACUGGGAAGCAGCAUGGAUUGUGUCUCUCUGCACCAUUGGAGAAAGGAAAUAUCAAGAAAUUUUAGAGAAACCGACAACAACACUGAAACAAAAGGCAUGAUCCUGGAGUACUAAACGAUUGGAAAUCUAGGCAUGACAGUUACAAGUAGGAAUGCAAGUUUCAUUUCUUUUGGAUCAUUUGGUCAACCUAAAUUUGAUAAAAUGAACUACAGUGACAUUCCAUGUAAUUAAGUUAGGGGAGAGAAAUUAACUAAAAUAGCAAGUCAAAAUAAUUUAUUAGCCGACGAAAAAACACCAUUAGGUACCCACUUGCACGCCUUGUUACAAGUGUAUAGAGAAGGUAAUUUUUUUCUGAGUUAUCCUGGCAUUAAUACCUGAGAUGCAUAUGCUUUACAAUAGAAUCAAUCUAGCAAUUGAACUCUUCUUUUUAUUCAUUUUCUACUUCCAUCCUUUUGCUUAAGUUAUGCAAAGUAGUAAUAUCAACAUCACCAGAAUU